GUAGGGAAUAUUGCGCAAUGGACGAAAGUCUGACGCAGCGACGCCGCGUGAGUGAUGAAGGCCUUAGGGUCGUAAAGCUCUGUUGAAUGGGAAGAAAAAAAUGACGGUACCAUUCGAGGAAGGACCGGCUAACUUCGUGCCAGCAGCCGCGGUAAUACGAGGGGUCCUAGCGUUGUUCGGAAUCAUUGGGCGUAAAGGGUGUGUAGGUGGCCAUGUAAGUCAGGUGUGAAAGCCCCGGGCUCAACCCGGGAAGUGCACUUGAUACUGCGUGGCUUGAGUACCGAAGAGGGUAGUGGAAGUCCAGGUGUAGUGGUGAAAUACGUAGAUAUCUGGAGGAACACCGGUGGCGAAGGCGGCUACCUGGUCGAGUACUGACACUGAGACACGAAAGCAUGGGGAUCAAACAGGAUUAGAAACCCGAGUAGUCC
rnacentral:rRNA from 1 species